rnacentral:rRNA from 1 species
UACGAAGGGGGCUAGCGUUGCUCGGAAUUACUGGGCGUAAAGGGCGCGUAGGCGGACAUUUAAGUCAGGGGUGAAAUCCCAGAGCUCAACUCUGGAACUGCCUUUGAUACUGGGUGUCUUGAGUGUGAGAGAGGUAUGUGGAACUCCGAGUGUAGAGGUGAAAUUCGUAGAUAUUCGGAAGAACACCAGUGGCGAAGGCGACAUACUGGCUCAUUACUGACGCUGAGGCGCGAAAGCGUGGGGAGCAAACCGG